GGGGGAUAGGCCGGCGAAAGCCGGAUUAAUACCGCAUACGAUCUGGGGAUGAAAGCGGGGGACCUUCGGGCCUCGCGCUCAAGGAGCGGCCGAUGGCGGAUUAGCUAGUUGGUGAGGUAAAGGCCCACCAAGGCGACGAUCCGUAGCUGGUCUGAGAGGACGACCAGCCACACUGGGACUGAGACACGGCCCAGACUCCUACGGGAGGCAGCAGUGGGGAAUUUUGGACAAUGGGGGCAACCCUGAUCCAGCAAUGCCGCGUGUGUGAAGAAGGCCUUCGGGUUGUAAAGCACUUUUGUCCGGAAAGAAAACUACGUCCCUAAUAUGGACGGAGGAUGACGGUACCGGAAGAAUCAGCACCGGCUAACUACGUGCCAGCAGCCGCGGUAAUACGUAGGGUGCAAGCGUUAAUCGGAAUUACUGGGCGUAAAGCGUGCGCAGGCGGUGAUGUAAGACCGAUGUGAAAUCCCCGGGCUUAACCUGGGAACUGCAUUGGUGACUGCAUUGCUGGAGUAUGGCAGAGGGGGGUGGAAUUCCACGUGUAGCAGUGAAAUGCGUAGAGAUGUGGAGGAACACCGAUGGCGAAGGCAGCCCCCUGGGCCAAUACUGACGCUCAGC
rnacentral:rRNA from 1 species